GAGGGAAAGGUGAAAAGAACCCCGGGAGGGGAGUGAAAUAGAACCUGAAACCCUGCACUUACAAGCUGUGGAAGCACAUUUCUUGUGUGACCGCGUACUUUUUGUAGAACGGGCAAACGAGUUACGUUAAGUAGCAAGGUUAAGCACUUAAGGUGCGGAGCCGUAGCGAAAGCGAGUUUUAACUGAGCGUUCAGUUACUUGACGUAGACCCGAAACCGGGCGACCUACCCAUGAGCAGGAUGAAGCGAAAGUAAAAUUUCGUGGAGGUCCGAACCCACGAGCG
rnacentral:rRNA from 1 species